rnacentral:rRNA from 1 species
UACCAGCACCCCGAGUGGUCGGGACGUUUAUUGGGCCUAAAGCCUCCGUAGCCGGUUCUACAAGUCUUCCGUUAAAUCCACCUGCUUAACAGAUGGGCUGCGGAAGAUACUAUGGAGCUAGGAGGCGGGAGAGGCAAGCGGUACUCGGUGGGUAGGGGUAAAAUCCGUUGAUCCAUUGAAGACCACCAGUGGCGAAGGCGGCUUGCCAGAACGCGCUCGACGGUGAGGGAUGAAAGCUGGGGGAGCAAACCGG